rnacentral:rRNA from 1 species
CCUACGGGAGGCAGCAGUAGGGAAUCUUCCACAAUGGGCGAAAGCCUGAUGGAGCAACGCCGCGUGGGUGAAGAAGGUCUUCGGAUCGUAAAACCCUGUUGUUAGAGAAGAAAGUGCGUGAGAGUAACUGUUCACGUUUCGACGGUAUCUAACCAGAAAGCCACGGCUAACUACGUGCCAGCAGCCGCGGUAAUACGUAGGUGGCAAGCGUUAUCCGGAUUUAUUGGGCGUAAAGGGAACGCAGGCGGUCUUUUAAGUCUGAUGUUAAAGCCUUCGGCUUAACCGGAGUAGUGCAUUGGAGACUGGGAGACUUGAGUGCAGAAGAGGAGAGUGGAACUCCAUGUGUAGCGGUGAAAUGCGUAGAUAUAUGGAAGAACACCAGUGGCGAAAGCGGCUCUCUGGUCUGUAACUGACGCUGAGGUUCGAAAGCGUGGGUAGCAAACAGGAUUAGAUACCCCGGUAGUC